CUGUUUUCUUUGAAAUGUUUACUAUUUGAGUGGUCCUAUCAGUUGCAUAUAUAUUGAAAUAAGUAAAACAUGUGGAAAAAAAUGAUUGUUUAAAGUGAAAGUAGUGAUUUGGCCAAAAUGAAAGUAGGGUAGAAAUCAGCCUUCGUCAUUUAUUCAAGAUUCAAAUCCUACCAUUGGCAUGCUAAUAGGGCUCUCAAAAGAAAAAGCACUGAUGGAUUGUACUGGGAC
rnacentral:lncRNA from 1 species